UGAACCUGCGGAAGCAUCAUAAUCAAGGUUAGACUGGGAUGGAGCUGGACCUUCCGAGGCAUGUGCACGCCCUGCUCAUCCACUCUACACCUAUGCACUUAAAUAGUGGGCUUCAGGGAAAGUUAAAACGCGUCCCAAUACCAUGGGCCUUUGCCGAGCGUGUCUGUGCCUGAGUUAUAUCAGCAACACUCUAUAAUAUGUAUCACAAUGUAUAUUGCGAUAAUAACAAAACUAUAUACAACUUUCAACAACGGAUCUCUUGGCUCUCGCAUCGAUGAAAAACGCAGCGAAAUGCGAUAAGUAAUGUGAAUUGCAAAAUUCAGUGAAUCAUCAAAUCUUUGAACGCACCUUGCGCUCCUUUGGUAUUCCGAUGGAGCAUACCUGUUUGAGUGUCAUGAACAUCUAUCAACCUCUGUUCAGACCUUUUGUGAGUUUAAAACAAAAAAGAUUGGAAUUUUGGAGGGGCUUGUCGGCCGUUGUUGGUCGGCUCCUCUUAAAUGCAUUAGCUUGGUUCCUUGCGGAUCGGCUCUCAGUGUGAUAAUGUCUACGCUGCGACCGUGAAGCGUUUGGCGAGCUUCUAACCGUCUCAGUUGGAGACAACUUUAUGACCUCUGACCUCAAAUCAGGUAGGACUACCCGCUGAACUUAAGCAUAUCAAUAAGCGGAG
rnacentral:rRNA from 1 species